CCUACGGGUGGCAGCAGUGAGGAAUAUUGGUCAAUGGACGAGAGUCUGAACCAGCCAAGUCGCGUGAAGGAUGACUGCCCUAUGGGUUGUAAACUUCUUUUAUAAAGGAAUAAAACGAGGCACGUGUGCCUUUUUGCAUGUACUUUAUGAAUAAGGAUCGGCCAACCACGCGCCAGCAGCCGCGGUAAUACGGAGGUUCCGAGCGUUAUCCGGAUUUAUUGGGUUGAAAGGGAGCGUAGAUGGGUUGUUAAGUCAGUUGUGAAAGUUUGGGGCUCAACCGUAAAAUUGCAAUUGAUACUGGCAGGCUUGAGUGCAGUUGAGGUAAGCGGAAUUCGUGGUGUAGCGGUGAAAUGCUUAGAUAUCACGAAGAACCCCGAUUGCGAAGGCAGCUUACUAGACUGUGACUGACAUUGAGGCUCGAAAGUGUGGGUAUCAAACAGGAUUAGAUACCCGGGUAGUC
rnacentral:rRNA from 1 species